rfam:Cryomorphaceae bacterium BACL29 MAG-121220-bin83 contig00068.0_to_1_1_121220-bin83, whole genome shotgun sequence.
UCCUGUGUGGAAGGAUUUGUCCGAUUGCAACCACGGUAAAAAAUGCUAAACCCGGCUUU